GAUGAACGCUGGCGGCGUGCCUAAUACAUGCAAGUCGAGCGAACAGACGAGGAGCUUGCUCCUCUGACGUUAGCGGCGGACGGGUGAGUAACACGUGGAUAACCUACCUAUAAGACUGGGAUAACUUCGGGAAACCGGAGCUAAUACCGGAUAAUAUAUUGAACCGCAUGGUUCAAUAGUGAAAGACGGUUUUGCUGUCACUUAUAGAUGGAUCCGCGCCGCAUUAGCUAGUUGGUAAGGUAACGGCUUACCAAGGCGACGAUGCGUAGCCGACCUGAGAGGGUGAUCGGCCACACUGGAACUGAGACACGGUCCAGACUCCUACGGGAGGCAGCAGUAGGGAAUCUUCCGCAAUGGGCGAAAGCCUAACGGAGCAACGCCGCGUGAGUGAUGAAGGUCCUCGGAUCGUAAAACUCUGUUAUUAGGGAAGAACAAAUGUGUAAGUAACUAUGCACGUCUUGACGGUACCUAAUCAGAAAGCCACGGCUAACUACGUG
rnacentral:rRNA from 1 species